rnacentral:rRNA from 1 species
AUUGAACGCUGGCGGCAGGCUUAACACAUGCAAGCCGAGCGGGGGAGGUUGCUUCGGUAACUGACCUAGCGGCGGACGGGUGAGUAAUGCUUAGGAAUCUGCCUAUUAGUGGGGGACAACAUUCCGAAAGGGAUGCUAAUACCGCAUACGCCCUACGGGGGAAAGCAGGGGAUCUUCGGACCUUGCGCUAAUAGAUGAGCCUAAGUCGGAUUAGCUAGUUGGUGGGGUAAAGGCCUACCAAGGCGACGAUCUGUAGCGGGUCUGAGAGGAUGAUCCGCCACACUGGGACUGAGACACGGCCCAGACUCCUGCGGGAGGCAGCAGUGGGGAAUAUUGGACAAUGGGCGGAAGCCUGAUCCAGCCAUGCCGCGUGUGUGAAGAAGGCCUUUUGGUUGUAAAGCACUUUAAGCGAGGAGGAGGCUACUUAGAUUAAUACUCUAGGAUAGUGGACGUUACUCGCAGAAUAAGCACCGGCUAACUCUGUGCCAGCCGCCGCGGUAAGAC